AUACAUAUAUAUAUACAUACAUACAUACAUACAUACAUACAUACAUACAUACAUACAUACAUACAUACAUAUACAUACAUACAUACAUACAUACAUAUAUGUAUGUAUGUAUGUAUUCUAUUGGGCAUUAUGCUUUUGGACAGCAAAAGAUUGAUGAUUUAUUGUUAUUUUUUGGGUAGCUUUACUCUGAUAAUGCAUUGCUAAAGUGCUGAUGGUUAGUUUGCAUGCAGCCGCAAACAACCAUAUCAAAGAGAGCGAUAUAAUGUUACUGACGAGUGUUAUAGAAAGGUAGCCUGGCAUAUUCUACAUUAGUAGGUCUUGUGAGUUGCUUUUUCUUGUUCAAUGAAAAGAAAUCUUACGACAUAUACUACCUCUAUUUUUUUAUUUGAAGUUGAUUAAUUCAAAAUAAAACUAAAUCAGAAAAAAGCCACGAGGAAAUUAGCCAUGCAACUACAUACAUGGUAAAUCAAAUCGGUCCGCUAACGAAGAUUUAAUUUAGGAGUUGGAGCUCUAUAAAACAUGCCGUAAGGCUUUGAGCUACUUGGCAAGUUAUUCAGUGCAUAUAAAGCAUUAUGUACUGGCUAUUGCUACCAUAUAUCAUGUGUGACAGGUGGGACCAAAUAUUAUUUAUAUCUUAUAUAUUUAUAGUUAACUAUUGUAUGUUUCAAUUGACUAUAAAUGAUUUGGAGCUAGGUAGCUAUACUAUUCAACUUGCUCUUAGUAGAGAUUAAUGUUGAAAAAUUAAAGACUUUGGCCCUUUAUUAAAUGAGGUAUUGGAUAGUAAUAAAAGGACAAUUGGGGUAAGAUAGAGAAAAAAAAUAGUACUUCCUCCGUCCCACAAUACUUGUCUUUCUAGCAUUCAAAAGUUGUCGCAAAAUAGUUAUCACUUGGAAGUACUACUUAUCACAUCAACCACUUUCAAUUCAAAUAUCUUCUCAUUCUACCCUCAACCACCAUCUCACAUACAACUAUACAUUAUUAUCUCCGUUUCAGGUUAUAAGACUUUCUAUCAUUGCCCAUAUUCAUAUAGAUGUUAAUGAAUCUAGGCAUCAUACAUAUCUAGAUUCAUUAAUAUAUAUAUAUGAACGUGGGCAAUGCUAGAAAGUCUUAUAAUAUGAAAUAGAUAAAGUAUUUAUUAAGAGAUAUUAUAGUUUUUUUCUCUUAACCUUAGUACAUGCUAAACAACCUAAAAUGACAUGUAUUAUAAGACGGAGGCAGGAUUACUACUCCAUAAGUAAAGUGAUUGAUGGGACAAUCAGUAUUAUAAAAUAUUUAUAUUUGUAGAUAAAUUUUAAAUGUUUUAAGUACUUAUAUUUAUAUUUUAUAUUUAUAUUUGUGGAUAGAGGUAGUACCUGAUUUGCACAUGUCUGGUUCCCUGUAUAGUUUGCUCGGGCCUCGGGAAGACAUGCUGAGUGCCUAAGAACAGGACAUUGCUCCUUUGCAGCUGAUGCACAUUGCACAGCUAGGCGCGGCCGCGCGGAUACCGUUCUGCCCUGCACCACUAGGCCGGCCGGCAACAUGUUCUUCGUUUCUGUGAUCGUCGGGACUCGAGAAUUGGAUUCUCCCUCACAUUAGGCGGACGAACAAGCCAUCCCGUCCAUCCAAAUCGCUGGAUGCGACGCUGCUUGACCUUCUCGUCAUCAUUCAUCAGUGGGCUGUCUAAAGCGGUUUUCUUCGUGGAGGGCUUUCCCGGUGCUGGCUGCCUUUACCU